UUUCAGAUUUCGAAAAGAAAAUAUAAUGCUCAGUUCCGGACGCGGCGGCGUCUCUCUCUCUAUCUCUCUCUCCGGCGUCGCAGAUUAGGCACCGCCGGUGAGGUUGAAGCCGAAUUCAGCGGCAGAAGGGUAGCACGGAAGGGCGAGAGGAUGUCGUUCACGAAGGGAUUGGCCAAGGCGGAGCCUGUUUGGCUCAAGACCAUGCAGUAGUCAGUCAAUUUUUAUCUGUUGUUUGCCCCUUUACCAUGUACUUUUCAUAAUGCUGUAAUGGCCUCCUUGAUGCUGGAAGUAGAGGGUACUUGCUUGUUCUGUGAAAGCCUCAAUCUUUGCCAAUCGGGUUGCUUCAGAUUAGCUGCGCUGGCGGGUGUGGUGGGAGGUUCUUGUUUGGCGGUGUAGUCGAAGAGCAAUUUCGUCGUGGAGAUCCCUGUUUUGCUGCUUUGUCAAUCGGUGUAGAGUGAUUUCGCAUGAAUUUCUGUCGAGAAGUUCAGAAAACUGUUUUAGGAAUGUGAUGGUACCAUGAGGAGCCCCCUUGUGCUGUUCAGUGCUCUUUCUCAUUGUUGGGCAACUGCAAAAACAUUGGCUAUCGAAUGAUUUUUUGUGCAGUAGUCAUGAGACAAUGGCACCACCUGCACUUUUCCCUCGUGCCGAUGAAAUCAAGCAGAUCGCUCUCCCUGAGGAUGUCUAUGUUAAAAGUUUUUCCAGAAAUAUCUGGACUCAAAGCAUGAGGAUGCGAUCAACCCAUUUUUUCAGUCAACGAGUCCUUGAGUUGAAGGAAAGUGGAGUUAGUGAGGAAGAGGCUAUGGGUGUAGCAGAUAUGGACCGCCUAGAGAAGAAGGCAAACAAGCAGGCAUAUGCUUGACUGAAGCAGAUUGCGAAGUUUCAAGGCAAAAGACCUCCUCCUAAUCCUUACCCAAGUGCUAUCAAAGAGAUACAAGCAGAAGAGAGAAAGUAUGUUCGGGAUCGUUUCCAUAAUCCCAAAAUCUGCAAAAUUAUCGAGAAGAUGAAAGAAGAGAAGGCGGCUGAAGCUCAGUACAGAACGGGAGGAGGUGGCUACUAGAGUUUGAAGUAGCUCAAAGUGAAAAGUUAUUGGCUUGCUUUUGGAGCCUCACAUCAUAAUGACAUUGCCACUACUUUUCGAUAAGAGAGAAAAGGUUCUCUUUGAAGAUCUGUUUGUCUUAGUCAAGCUUACACCACUUUACUAUAUGUGAAAGCAUGUGCUAUGAUGGGAUUGGAUUAAGAACGAAACCAGAUAGAAUUAUUAGAAUUUGGUAGAGGAACUGUUUUGAAUUAGAUAGCCUUCUCUAUGCUUUGAAUCCCAUCUUCGCCGAUUCCACUAUUUGAAGAAAUGAUUCGGCUUUCACGGUAUUGAUCGGAAUGAUACAACGAGCGCUUUAGGGCAUCCCAAGAGAUGUCUAUACAAUUGCAAUCUAUCUUGGCUCAAGGGAUACUUCCUCUGCACUCGGGGAAAGUUUUGAAAGAAAUGGAUCGUUGAAAUUUUGGCGGCAUUUUGAACCUUAUAGCAAUCUUUCGCUUCUCAAAAGCAUGUCUCUUGGAUCUACAUGUCACGUACCAUCCAAUAUAUUGUGUCAAUAAGUAUUCCUGACCAAAGGCUCUUAACUGUAAAUCUAGCCAUGAACUGAACCUAAUAUAUUUAUCGUGCAUAAAAGCAGAUUUAUGAUGAUGAAGUUCAGCAAGUAUUGUGCAACGCACUGGAGGAGCUUUCUUCAGAAAAACAUUAUCAGGAGAAAUGCUUGUCAAUACUGGUUCAUGCUUUACAGUCAUUUGAGGGAGACAUGUCGCAGGGAAAACAUGAUGCAGAAGCAGAUUGGAGUUUUCUCUUUUCUAGGUAUCAAUUAACGGUCUCUUCAAUGGUUAUGGCAUCCCUUCCCCAAUGUUUUCCCGGUAUGUACAUGAGGAAUAACCAUACAAGCCUAAUCUCAUCUUUCAAGGAGUGUGUUUUCUGUUCAUCAUGUAAAUGUGUCUGAUGUUGUGUGUUCUAGUCAAAUUGACAUGCUGUGCUAUGAAACCUUCAUCAAUUUUAUUUUUUCUUAUUGUUCUGCUAUCA